CCUACGGGAGGCAGCAGUAGGGAAUAUUGGGCAAUGGGACGAAAGUCUGACCCAGCCAUGUCGCGUGCAGGAUGAAGGCCCUCUGGGUUGUAAACUGCUUUUGACAGGGAAGAAAUACAUCAUGCGUGGUGGGCUGACGGUACCUGUAGAAUAAGCACCGGCUAACUCCGUGGCCAGCAGCCGCGGUAAUACGGAGGGUGCAAGCGUUGUCCGGAUUUAUUGGGUUUAAAGGGUGCGUAGGCGGUUCUGUAAGUCAGUGGUGAAAGCUAGCAGCUUAACUGUUAAACUGCCAUUGAUACUGCAGAGCUUGAGUUCAGAUGAGGUAGGCGGAAUUUAUAGUGUAGCGGUGAAAUGCUUAGAUACUAUAAAGAACUCCGAUAGCGUAGGCAGCUUACUAAACUGAUACUGACGCUGAGGCACGAAAGUGUGGGGAUCAAACAGGAUUAGGAUACCCUGGUAGUCCACACUGUAAACGAUGAUUACUCGUUGUUGGCCGAUAUUACUAGCACGCGACGUUAACGGUAAACCGGUUAAACGUUAAAGUACCGACCGUACGGGUAAGGUACGGUUACGUUCGAAGGUAGUUAGUUAAACGUUAAAGUUAGUUAGUUAGUACGGGCGUUGAGACGUUGCGACGGACGACGACGAGGGAGGAGG
rnacentral:rRNA from 1 species